CCAAUCUCGUUCCCCGAGCCUGCGAUCCUCGGGAAGGAACGCGAGGCUCUGAGAUAAUCCGUUGCCGGAAGCCAGGAAUCCUGGCUAAGAUUGAACUGCGCAUUUCAUAUCAACGGCCAAUCAGAUUCCUACCUGAAACGGAAGUGAAGCCAAGAUCGGACUUCGCGGUUAACACGAAGCUUUAAGAAGUGUGCCAAAAUUUCGUAUUUUGAGAUCGAUUUAUACUCUGAUAUACGAACGCUCCUUUAGAAAAAACUGGAAUUAGCUGGGAGAAAUAAUAUGAAAACUCUGUACGACCUUCAUAGAUUUUGAACGUUAAUGUCCGCCAUUUUGUCUUCGCUUUUCUCAUGGGUCGAGUGACUGAAUUUCUCGCUCCAGAUUUAUAGAGUUCACUGAUGAGUUCACGGCGA